GAAAGCGUGGGUAGCAAACAGGAUUAGAUACCCUGGUAGUCCACGCCGUAAACGAUGUCUACUAGUCGUUGGGUCCCUUGAGGACUUAGUGACGCAGCUAACGCAAUAAGUAGACCGCCUGGGGAGUACGGCCGCAAGGUUAAAACUCAAAUGAAUUGACGGGGGCCCGCACAAGCGGUGGAGCAUGUGGUUUAAUUCGAUGCAACGCGAAGAACCUUACCUGGUCUUGACAUAUCUAGAAUCCUGCAGAGAUGCGGGAGUGCCUUCGGGAAUUAGAAUACAGGUGCUGCAUGGCUGUCGUCAGCUCGUGUCGUGAGAUGUUGGGUUAAGUCCCGCAACGAGCGCAACCCUUGUCCUUAGUUACCAGCGGGUUAAGCCGGGAACUCUAAGGAUACUGCCAGUGACAAACUGGAGGAAGGCGGGGACGACGUCAAGUCAUCAUGGCCCUUACGACCAGGGCUACACACGUGCUACAAUGGUAGGUACAGAGGGCAGCUACACAGCGAUGUGAUGCGAAUCUCAAAAAGCCUAUCGCAGUCCAGAUUGGAGUCUGCAACUCGACUCCAUGAAGUAGGAAUCGCUAGUAAUCGCGGAUCAGAAUGCCGCGGUGAAUACGUUCCCGGGCCUUGUACACACCGCCCGUCACACCAUGGGAGUUGAUUGCACCAGAAGUGGAUAGCUUAACCUUCGGGGAGGCGUUCACCACGGUGUGGUUGAUGACUGGGGUGAAGUCGUAACAAGGUAGCCGU
rnacentral:rRNA from 1 species